GGGAGAGAGAGAUGUAGGGGGAGAGAGAUGUAGGGGGAGAGAGAUGUAGGGAGAGAGAGAGAGUUGUAGGGAGAGAGAGAUUUAGGGAGAGAGACAGGUAGGGGGAGAGAGAUGUAGAGGGAGAGAGGUAGGGGAAGAGAUAUGUAGGGGGAGAGAGGUAGGGGAGAGGGAUGUAGGGGGAUAGAGAUGUAGGGGAGAGAGGUAGGGGGAGAUAUGUAGGGGAGAGAUGUAGGGGGAGAGGGAUGUAGGGGAGAGAAAUGUAGGGGGAUAGAGAUGUAGGGGAGAGAGGUAGGGGGAGAGAUGUAGGGGGAGAGAUGUAGGGGGAGAGAGAUGUAGGAGGAGAGAAAUGUAAGGGCAGAGAGCUGUGGGAGGAGAGAGGUAGGGGGAGGGAGAUGUAGGAGGAGAGAAAUGUAGGGGAGAGAGAUGUAGGAGGAGAGAGGUAGGGGAGAGAGAUGUAGGAGGAGAGAGGUAGGGGAGAGAGAUGUAGGGGGAGAGAGAUUUAGGGAGAG
ensembl:lncRNA